rnacentral:rRNA from 1 species
AGGGUUCGAUUCUGGCUCAGGAUGAACGCUAGCGAUAGGCCUAACACAUGCAAGUCGAGGGGCAGCACAUGAGUAGCAAUACGAUGGUGGCGACCGGCGCACGGGUGAGUAACACGUAUGCAACCUACCUUUAACAGGGGAAUAACCCGUUGAAAAACGGACUAAUACUCCAUAACACAGGGGUCCCGCAUGGGAAUAUUUGUUAAAGAUUAAUCGGUUGAAGAUGGGCAUGCGUUCCAUUAGCUUGUUGGUGAGGUAACGGCUCACCAAGGCCACGAUGGAUAGGGGAACUGAGAGGUUUAUCCCCCACACUGGAACUGAGACACGGUCCAGACUCCUACGGGAGGCAGCAGUGAGGAAUAUUGGUCAAUGGAGGCAACUCUGAACCAGCCAAGUCGCGUGAAAAGGAUGAAGGUCUUAUGGAUUGUAAACUUCUUUUGCAAGGGAAUAAAGUGGGGGACGUGUCCCUCCUUUCCGCAUGUACCUUGCGAAUAAGGAUCGGCUAACUCCGUGCCAGCAGCCGC